GUCAUGAAAUCUCUAUUAAGAUGUGAGAAAAAAUUUUCGAUUUAUAUGAAGGGCAGGUUUCAUUAUUUGUACAGCUUUUGUUAUGAGGCUUGAGGCUGGGGGAGGGGAAAGAAGAGGAAAAAGGAGAAACGCUAGAAAGAGGGGAAAGAGAAGAGAAGAAAAUAAAAAUGGGAAGAAGAGUGGAAGCUGAGCAGUUGGGACAACCGGGAACCUGCUAAGAUGAACCCUUUAAGGUGAAGCUGACCAGCGAGCUGAAUGAGCGAGAGGUCCAGCUUGGGGUGCCGGAUAAGGUGUCCUGGCACUCCGAGUACAAGGACAGCGCCUGGGUCUUCCUGGGAGGGCUUCCUUAUGAAUUGACUGAAGGCGACAUCAUCUGUGUUUUCUCACAGUAUGGGGAGAUUGUUAACAUUAAUCUCGUGCGGGACCAGACGACCGGGAAGUCCAAAGGAUUGCUUCCUCUGCUAUGAAGACCAGGGAAGCACAAUUCUGGCCGUUGACAAUUUUAAUGGAAUCAAGAUUAAAGGGCGGUCUUAGCGGGUUGGAAUCAUGGCGGCCACGGCCACGAUGGCGACCUCGGGCUGGGCGCGGAAGCGGCUGCUCAAAGAGGAAGACAUGACCAAAGUGGAAUUCGAGACCAGCAAGGAGGUGGACGUGACCCCCACGUUCGACUCUAUGGGCCUGCGGGAGGACCUGCUGCGCGGCAUCUACGCCUACGGUUUUGAAAACCCUUCAGCGAUCCAACAGCGAGCUACCAAGCAGAUAAUUAAAGGGAGAGACGUCAUCGCACAGUCUCAGUCUGGCACAGGUAAAACAGCCACCUUCAGUAUUUCAGUCCUUCAGUGCUUGGAUAUUCAGGUUCCUGACACCCAGGCUCUGAUCUUGGCCCCCACGCGAGAGCUGGCCGUGCAGAUCCAGAAGGGCCUGCUUGCUCUCGGCGACUACAUGAACAUCCAGUGCCACGCCUGCAUCAGGGGCACCAAUGUGGGCGAGGACAUCAGGAAGCUGGAUUACGGACAGCACGUCGUCGCAGGCACACCAGGGCGCGUCUUUGAUGUGAUUCGUCGAAGAAGUUUAAGGACACGAGCUAUCAAGAUGUUGGUUUGGGAUGAGGCUGAUGAAAUGUUGACUAAAGGUUUCAAAGAGCAGAUUUAUGACGUGUACAGGUACCUGCCUCCGGCCACACAGGUGGUCCUUAUCAGUGCCACGCUGCCCCGUGAAAUCCUGGAAAUGACCACCAAGUUCAUGACGGACCCAAUCCGCAUCCUGGUAAGACGUGAUGAGUUGACUCUGGAAGGCAUCAGACAGUUUUUUGUGGCAGUGGAAAGAGAAGAGUGGAAGUUUGACACCCUGUGUGAUCUCUACGACACACUGACCAUCGCGCAGGCGGUCAUCUUCUGUAACACCAAGUGGAAGGUUGACUGGCUGACAGAGAAGAUGAGAGAAGCCAAUGUCACCGUGUCCUCGAUGCACGGAGACAUGCCGCAGAAGGAGCGGAGUCCAUCGUGAAGGAGGUCCGGGCCGGCGCCAGCCGCGUGCUCAUCUCCACAGACGUCUGGGCCAGGGGCUUGGAUGUCCCGCAGGUGUCCCUCAUCAUUAACUACGACCUGCCCAAUAACAGAGAGUUGUACAUACACAGAAUUGGGAGAUCAGGUCGAUAUGGUCGACAGGGUGUGGCCAUUAAUUUUGUAAAGAACGACGACAUCCGCAUCCUCCGAGAUACUGAACAGUACUGCUCCACUCAGAUGGAUGAAACGCCUGUGGACGCUGCCGAUCUGAGCUGAAGACACAGUCCCGCUGUGCUGAAGAUGGG